AAAGUAAUUUUACACCUUUAAACACAACAUAAACCAGCACUCACAGGCAACUUCGACAUGAAUACAAGGUGGGCUAUGAAGAGGCCCAAUGAACAAAACAAAAUCAUAGAAUAAGCCCAACGAGACCCAAAUAAAGGAUCCAAUACAGAAACCCCUAAGCUCAGCCUCCGUACACGACCAAGGCAUGCUGAGAAACCACAUGUACAGCGCAAGCCGACCACCGGCCGCCGCAGACGGUUGGGCAAAAACGAACCACCAUAGCCUGGACAUAACCAGCAACAAGAGCACGACAUCGGCUCAAACACCCAGAGAAGAACACUCUAAUAGCUGGAUCGUCACCCCUUUGUCGCUUGAGAAAGCAACACAAGCCCUUCUCUAGAGUCGAGACCUCACAGCAUCCUCAGCUGAGCUCGCACAAAAGCCACCGUCUAACAAUGAUGUGGAGGCCGAUCUACAUGAGGGGAUGCUGGAUGGCACGACACCAGGAGCACUUUUAGCAUUUUUAAUCUCCGAUUGAAUAUCAUCUUUAGGUAAAGCCCAAUCCUCCAUACUCAGAAAAACCUAUAUAUUAUUUUGGAGAUUAGAUGGAAUUUCAAGAAUUUCAAUGAAUUAGUCUUACAAGAACCAUCAAAUCUUAGCUUUUUCAAUACAAAAGGAAGCGUUUUGGUCUUG
rnacentral:misc_RNA from 1 species